rnacentral:rRNA from 1 species
UGGGGAAUCUUGCGCAAUGGGCGAAAGCCUGACGCAGCGACGCCGCGUGCGGGAAGAAGGCCUUAGGGUUGUAAACCGCUUUCAGGAGGGACGAAGCCACUCGGGUGAACAGCCCAGAGGGUGACGGUACCUCCAGAAGAAGCCCCGGCUAACUACGUGCCAGCAGCCGCGGUAAUACGUAGGGGGCAAGCGUUGUCCGGAUUUAUUGGGCGUAAAGAGCGUGUAGGCGGCCAGGUAGGUCGGUUGUGAAAACUGGAGGCUCAACCUUCAGACGUCGACCGAAACCCCCUGGCUAGAGUCCGGGAGAGGAGAGUGGAAUUCCUGGUGUAGCGGUGGAAUGCGCAGAUAUCAGGAAGAACACCCGUGGCGAAAGCGGCUCUCUGGAACGGUACUGACGCUGAGACGCGAAAGCGUGGGGAGCGAACAGG